UGGGGAAUAUUGCACAAUGGGCGCAAGCCUGAUGCAGCAACGCCGCGUGAACGAUGAAGGUCUUCGGAUCGUAAAGUUCUGUUGCAGGGGAAGAUAAUGACGGUACCCUGUGAGGAAGCCCCGGCUAACUACGUGCCAGCAGCCGCGGUAAUACGUAGGGGGCUAGCGUUAUCCGGAUUUACUGGGCGUAAAGGGUGCGUAGGUGGUCUUUCAAGUCGGUGGUUAAAGGCUACGGCUCAACCGUAGUUAGCCUCCGAAACUGGAAGACUUGAGUGCAGGAGAGGAAAGUAGAAUUCCCAGUGUAGCGGUGAAAUGCGUAGAUAUUGGGAGGAACACCAGUAGCGAAGGCGGCUUUCUGGACUGCAACUGACACUGAGGCACGAAAGCGUGGGUAGCAAACAGG
rnacentral:rRNA from 1 species